GUUCCUGUAGCGCAAAGGAUAAUGCAUUGGACUUCUUAUCCAAAGGGCGUGGGUUCUAAUCCCACCUGGAAUG